rnacentral:lncRNA from 1 species
CACUUGCCUAUGAUUUUUAGGUGAAUGGGACCUGGACUGGAAAAGGAUUGUUUGUGUGGGAAUCACUCAUGGCAAAAGCAGUGACACCUCUUUCAAAAACCUGUGUCAUUCUGGCAGAGUGUGGCAGGAGAUGGCCACUGGAGAGGCUGAGUCAAAUCAAUCUCCUCACCUGAGGACUUCCUGAGACCAGCGCACCGAAGGACCAGCAACAACAACAACAAUAAUGCUAAUGCUCCCUUAUGGACAGGACUGCAAUUCUCUGCCUGCUGAAGCUCAGCUAUGACCACGUGACUUGCCUUGGCCAAUGAAAGAGGAAGAGCAUGUAACACUGCUGAACGGAAGCAAGCGGCCCCUGCCCCUGCUGCAGAGAUUCUAUACGUGUGUGCCAUGCUGGAGCAAGGAGGCAGGGAGUCCUGGAGAAAGGAGACAUGGAACAGAGCUCCCAGCCCAGUCUAUAUGUAACAUGAGUGAGAAAUAAAUAACACUUUGUUGCUAGAA